rnacentral:rRNA from 1 species
GACGAACGCUGGCGGCGUGCUUCACACAUGCAAGUCGAACGGUAAGGCCCUUCGGGGUACACGAGUGGCGAACGGGUGAGUAACACGUGGGUGAUCUGCCCUGCACUUCGGGAUGCGCCUGGGAAACUGGGUCUAAUACCGGAUAGGACCACUGCCUGCAUGGGUGGGGGUGGAAAGCUUUUGCGGUGUGGGAUGGGCCCGCGGCCUAUCAGCUUGUUGGUGGGGUGAUGGGCUACCAAGGCGACGACGGGUAGGCGGCCUGAGAGGGUGAUCGGCCACACGGGGACUGAGAUACGGCCCAGACUCCUACGGGAGACAGCAGUGGGGAAUCUUGCACACUGGGCGCAGGCCUGAUGCAGCGACGCCGCGUGAGGGAUGACGGCCUUCGGGUUGUAAACCUCUUUCAGCACCGACGAAGCGCAAGUGACGGUAGGUGCAGAAGAAGGACCGGCCAACUACGUGCCAGCAGCCGCAGUAA